ACUGGGCACAGACCUCCACCAUGGAGAGGGAUCUGAUCUGGGUUUUCCUUGUGGCCAUUUUAAAAGGUGUGCUGUGUGAGGUGAAGCUGGUGGAGUCUGGGGGAGGCUUGGUGCAGCCUAGUGGGUCCCUGAGACUCUCCUGUGCAGCCUCCGGAUUCACCUUCAGUGGUUAUUGGAUGAACUGGCUCUGCCUGGCUCCAGGGAAGAGGCUGGAGUGGGUUUCUUCCAUCUAUGAUAGUAGUAGGAUACACUACGCAGACUCCAUGAAGGGUCGCUUCACCGUCUCCAAAGACAACAGCAAGAACACAGUUCACCUGCAGAUGAACAGCCUGAGAGUGGAGGACUUGGCCAUCUAUUACUGUGCUACAGACACAGUGCAGGAAAUCCAGACACAAACCUCCCUGCAGGGAAUUCAGCACCAACAGGGGGCGCUCAGCACACACUGA